AUUGAACGCUGGCGGCAUGCCUUACACAUGCAAGUCGAACGGCAGCCCGGGUGCUUGCACCUGGUGGCGAGUGGCGAACGGGUGAGUAAUACAUCGGAACGUACCUUAUCGUGGGGGAUACCGCAGCGAAAGCUGUGCUAAUACCGCAUACGCCCUGAGGGGGAAAGCGGGGGAUCGCAAGACCUCGCGCGCUUAGAGCGGCCGAUGCCUGAUUAGCUUGUUGGUGGGGUAAAAGCCCACCAAGGCGACGAUCAGUAGCUGGUCUGAGAGGACGAUCAGCCACACUGGGACUGAGACAGGGCGCAGACUCCUACGGGCGGCAGCGGGGGGGAAUUUUGGACAAAGGGGGCAACACUGGUCCAGCCAUGCCGCGUGGGUGAAGAAGGCCUUCGGGUUGUACAGCUCUUUUGUCAGGGAAGAAACACCGGCUCUAACACAGUCUGGGAAUGACGGUACCUGAAGAAUAAGCACCGGCUAACUACGUGCCAGCCGCCGCCGUAA
rnacentral:rRNA from 1 species